rnacentral:tRNA from 1 species
GAGCAGCCUGGUAGCUCGUCGGGCUCAUAACCCGAAGGUCGUCGGUUCGAAUCCGGCCCCCGCAACCA